AGAGUUUGAUCCUGGCUCAGAUUGAACGCUGGCGGCAUGCCUAACACAUGCAAGUCGAACGAGGGUAGCAAUACCUUAGUGGCGGACGGGUGAGGAAUACAUAGGAAUUUGCCCUUAAGUGGGGGAUAGCCCGGGGAAACCCGGAUUAAUACCGCAUGAACUCGUGAGAGCAAAGUCGGGGACCUUCGGGCCUGGCGCUUUUGGAGAAGCCUAUGUCGGAUUAGCUAGUUGGUGAGGUAAUGGCUCACCAAGGCUGCGAUCCGUAACUGGUCUGAGAGGAUGAUCAGUCACACCGGAACUGAGACACGGUCCGGACUCCUACGGGAGGCAGCAGUGAGGAAUAUUGGUCAAUGGGCGCAAGCCUGAACCAGCCAUCCCGCGUGAAGGAUGAAUGUCCUAUGGAUUGUAAACUUCUUUUGUACGGAAAGAAACCCCCCGACGUGUCGGGGGUUGACGGUACUGUACGAAUAAGCAUCGGCUAACUCCGUGCCAGCAGCCGCGGUAAUACGGAGGAUGCAAGCGUUAUCCGGAUUCAUUGGGUUUAAAGGGUGCGUAGGCGGGUUUCUAAGUCAGUGGUGAAAACCUACAGCUUAACUGUAGAACUGCCAUUGAUACUGGAAGCCUUGAAUACGGUUGAGGUAGGCGGAAUGUGUAAUGUAGCGGUGAAAUGCUUAGAUAUUACACAGAACACCGAUUGCGAAGGCAGCUUACUAAGCCGUAAUUGACGCUGAGGCACGAAAGCGUGGGGAGCAAACAGGAUUAGAUACCCUGGUAGUCC
rnacentral:rRNA from 1 species